rnacentral:rRNA from 1 species
UACGGGGGGGGGCAAGCGUUGUUCGGAAUUACUGGGCGUAAAGGGCGCGUAGGCGGCCUUCUAAGUCGGACGUGAAAUCCCUCGGCUUAACCGAGGAACUGCGUCCGAUACUGAAAGGCUUGAAUCCGGGAGAGGGAUGUGGAAUUCCAGGUGUAGCGGUGAAAUGCGUAGAUAUCUGGAGGAACACCGGUGGCGAAGGCGGCAUCCUGGACCGGCAUUGACGCUGAGGCGCGAAAGCUAGGGGAGCAAACGGG